UUGACCUCGAAUCAGGUAGGAAUACCCGCUGAACUUAAGCAUAUCAAUAAGCGGAGGAAAAGAAACCAACAGGGAUUGCCCCAGUAACGGCGAGUGAAGCGGCAACAGCUCAAAUUUGAAAUCUGGCCCCCCGGGGCCCGAGUUGUAAUUUGCAGAGGAUGCUUUUGGCGAGGCGCCUUCCGAGUUCCCUGGAACGGGACGCCAUAGAGGGUGAGAGCCCCGUCUGGUCGGACGCCGAGCCUCUGUAAAGCUCCUUCGACGAGUCGAGUAGUUUGGGAAUGCUGCUCUAAAUGGGAGGUAUAUGUCUUCUAAAGCUAAAUACCGGCCAGAGACCGAUAGCGCACAAGUAGAGUGAUCGAAAGAUGAAAAGCACUUUGAAAAGAGGGUUAAAUAGUACGUGAAAUUGUUGAAAGGGAAGCGCUUGUGACCAGACUUGGGCCCGGCGGAUCAUCCAGCGUUCUCGCUGGUGCACUCCGGCGGGCCCAGGCCAGCAUCAGCUCGUCCCGGGGGACAAAGGCGGGGGGAACGUGGCUCCUCCGGGAGUGUUAUAGCCCACCGCGCAAUGCCCUGGGGCGGGCUGAGGACCGCGCAUCUGCAUGGAUGCUGGCGUAAUGGUCAUCAGCGACCCGUCUUGAAACACGGACCAA
rnacentral:rRNA from 1 species